AAAAAAAUACAAGUGAAUUACAUAAACAAAUAGGAUAUGCAAUAUUUCAAGCUGGAGAAUAUACCUUGCAGGUUUUUCUACAAAACAAAGUGUUGGAACCACAAAAGCAAACAAUUGGUUAAUACCAAAUAUCUACAUGGCAGUCCAUCAAGAGGAACAUCUUAUAUCAUCAUAAAUGUGAUAAAGGAGGGGAAAUUUUGUAAACAGUGUUCAUUAUCUAUACUAUAUAUAAAUGUGGGAGGGGGGAAUAUUGACUUUGCUAAAAAUGCCCUUCGUUCUGCAAAUUAAUUACAAU
rnacentral:misc_RNA from 1 species